rnacentral:rRNA from 1 species
UUAAAGGAAUUGGCGGAAGGGCACCACCAGGUAUGGAGCAUGCGGCUUAAUUUGACUCAACACGGGAAAACUUACCCGGCCCGGACACAGGAAGGAUUGACAGAUUAAGAGCUCUUUCUUGAUUCUGUGGGUGGUGGUGCAUGGCCGUUCUUAGUUGGUGGAGCGAUUUGUCUGGUUAAUUCCGAUAACGAACGAGACUCUAGCCUAUUAAAUAGGCGAUCCGAUCUUUCGAGUCGGACGAUUCUUCUUAGAGGGACAAGCGGCGUUUAGCCGCACGAGACAGA